AGGAUAAUAGUUAAUAAUAACAUUUGAUUUGCAUUCAAAAAUUAUCAAAUUUGAUUUAUCUU
rnacentral:tRNA from 1 species